rnacentral:rRNA from 1 species
AUGGCGAGUCCUCGUGGUCUGGCGGGGCUCCUCUGCUUCGCCCUCGCGGCCGCGGCGGCGAGCGCGGCGCAGUACCGGGUCGGCGAGCAGCGGGGGUGGAGCGUGCCGGCGGCCGGCGCCGAGCCGCUCAACACGUGGUCGUCGCGGAUGCGGUUCAUCAUCGGCGACCAGCUCCGCGGCGUACAACGCGUGCAACACCACGACCUACGUGAGCAAGUUCCAGGGCGGCAGCACCGUCUUCACGCUCGACCGCUCCGGCCCCUUCUUCUUCAUCAGCGGCAACGAGGCCAGCUGCAAGGCGGAGCAGAAGCUCAUCGUCGUCGUGCUCUCCGUCGACCACACCCCGCCGGGCCUCCUGCCGCCGCCCCCUCCUCCCUCCAUGCCACCGUCGUCCGCGCCGCCCAUGCCCAGCCCGAUGUCGCCGCCUUCCAUGACGCCGCCNNNNNNNNCGCCGAUGCCCAGCCCGGUGUCGCCGCCUUCCAUGACACCGCCGUCCGCCGCGCCGAUGCCCAGCCCGAUGGCUCCUCCUUCCAUGACACCACCAUCCGCCGCGCCGAUGCCGAGCCCGAUGUCUCCCCCUUCCAUGACACCGCCGUCCGGCGAACCGAUGCCCAGCCCGUCGUCUCCGACAGCUGCUCCCGGGGCAACCCCGGACUCGCCACCGCCGACGACGAGUCCAGCUCCGUCGCCGGGUACACCUGGAGGCGGAUCAUCGCCGGGCGCCCCUGGAUCCGACACGAGCAGCCCGCCGGCGCCGGCCGCCGACGGGGCGAACUCGACCACGCCGGGAAGCGCGGCUGCUCCGGUAACGGCAGGCCUGAUCGGCACGCUUGCAGCAGGCAUCGGCUACGCCAUGCUCGCUAUCUGAGUGCUCUUUCCUUUUGUAUAGUGUGUAAAUUGCGAGAUGCCCACUCGUACUCUGCAGAGGAUUUACCUUUGUACGUAUUUGUUUUCCGAUGGUGA